GACGAACGCUGGCGGCGUGCCUAAUACAUGCAAGUAGAACGCUGAAGGAGGAGCUUGCUUCUCUGGAUGAGUUGCGAACGGGUGAGUAACGCGUAGGUAACCUGCCUGGUAGCGGGGGAUAACUAUUGGAAACGAUAGCUAAUACCGCAUAAGAGUAGAUGUCGCAUGACAUUUGCUUAAAAGGUGCAAUUGCAUCACUACCAGAUGGACCUGCGUUGUAUUAGCUAGUUGGUGAGGUAACGGCUCACCAAGGCAACGAUACAUAGCCGACCUGAGAGGGUGAUCGGCCACACUGGGACUGAGACACGGCCCAGACUCCUACGGGAGGCAGCAGUAGGGAAUCUUCGGCAAUGGACGGAAGUCUGGCCGAGCAACGCCGCGUGAGUGAAGAAGGUUUUCGGAUCGUAAAGCUCUGUUGUAAGAGAAGAACGAGUGUGAGAGUGGAAAGUUCACACUGUGACGGUAUCUUACCAGAAAGGGACGGCUAACUACGUG
rnacentral:rRNA from 1 species